rnacentral:misc_RNA from 1 species
AAAAGGUAUUUCUAAAUAAACAUCUCUGUCAAAAUCCUUCUUGCUUGAGCUUUGCCAAGUUUGAUACAAGAACUAGUAUCUCAAUGUGAUGCAAAGUAAAAAAAUUCCAACAAUCUCUAUCUUGCAGCCCAAUGAUCAUAUGUAUGAAUUCAAUGCAUAACUAAAAAUUUUGCCACCCUGGACAAGUAUUUUACAGGUAUCAGGUUUUACAGGAUACGUGUACUAUCCUAAGUAUAAACUUUUGAUCAAUGUGCGGUGUGCAGAUCAUACAUAUGUUCCACAGGA